rnacentral:rRNA from 1 species
AUGGGACGAAAGACUGACCGAGACGAUGCCGCGUGAGUGAAGAAGGCCCUAUGGGUGGUAAAGCUCUGUCAGAUUGGGAAGAAAAUCCUACGGUUAAUACCCGUGGGACUUGACGGUACCAUCAGAGGAAGCACCGGCUAACUCCGUGCCAGCAGCCGCGGUAAUACGGAGGGUGCAAGCGUUGUUCGGAUUCACUGGGUAUAAAGGGUGCGCAGGCGGCCUGGUAAGUCAGGGGUGAAAUAUGACGGCUCAACCGUCAAACUGCCCCUGAAACUGUCAGGCUUGAGUUCGAGAGAGGGAGGUAGAAUUCCAUGUGUAGCGGUGAAAUGCGUAGAUAUGUGGAGGAAUACCAGUGGCGAAGGCGGCCUCCUGGCUCGAUACUGACGCUAAGGUGCGAAAGCGUGGGGAGCAAACAGGAUUAGAUACCCUGGUAGUCCACGCCGUAAACGAUGUCUACUAGCCGUUGGGAGACUUGAUUUCUUAGUGGCGCAGCUAACGCAAUAAGUAGACCGCCUGGGGAGUACGGCCGCAAGGUU